rnacentral:rRNA from 1 species
UGGGGAAUAUUGGACAAUGGGGGCAACCCUGAUCCAGCGACGCCGCGUGUGUGAAGAAGGCCUGCGGGUUGUAAAGCACUUUUAGUGGGGAUGAAAAGUACAGGGCUAACACCUCUGUAUCUUGACCUAACCCACAGAAAAAGCACCGGCUAACUCUGUGCCAGCAGCCGCGGUAAUACAGAGGGUGCAAGCGUUAAUCGGAAUUACUGGGCGUAAAGCGUGCGUAGACGGUAGCGUAAGUCGGGUGUGAAAGCCCCGGGCUCAACCUGGGAAUGGCAUUCGAGACUGCUCUGCUAGGGUGCGGAAGAGGGGAGCGGAAUUUCCGGUGUAGCGGUGAAAUGCGUAGAUAUCGGAAGGAACACCAGUGGCGAAAGCGGCUCCCUGGUCCAGCACCGACGUUCAGGCACGAAAGCGUGGGGAGCAAACA